rnacentral:tRNA from 1 species
UGGGUCCGUAGCUCAAUCUGGUGGAGCAAGCGCCUCUUAAGCGCGAGGCUGGGAGUUCGAGUCUCCCCGGACCCAUC